UACGGAGGUGCGAAGCGUUGUCCGGAUUUAUUGGGUUUAAAGGGUGCGUAGGCGGUCUUUUAAGUCAGUGGAUGAAAUCCUGCAGCUUAACUACGUAGAACUGCCAUUGAUACUGGAAGACUUGGAGUAUAGACGAGGUAGGCGGAAUUGACGGUGUAGCGGUGAAAUGCAUAGAUAUCGUCAAGAACACCGAUUGCGAAGGCAGCUUACUAGACUAUAACUGACGCUGAGGCACGAAAGCGUGGGGAUCAAACAGG
rnacentral:rRNA from 1 species